UUAAAAGAAAAAAUGAGAAAAAGAUGAAACAACAGGAAAAGAAAAAGAUGAAACAGCAAGAGCAGGAUAUUUCCUUCUCCAUGAUGAAACAGAGAGAGAACAACCACUGAGAACACUGAUGUCAUUGAUUCCUGAAGGUAUGUAUUAGUGGUAAGUGUAGGCCUAGAGUUAAUAAUAGUGUUGGCCUAGAGAUAAGAUUAACUCCCUUUUCUACCAGGUUUACUGCAUAUUGGUAGCUCCAUGGUUAACGAUGAUGAUUCUCCCUUCGAUGUCACUGAUGAUCAGGGGUCAAUGAGUUAUUUAGGACAGGUAAAGUAUUGGUAAGUGAGAAAGAAACUAACACUUUUUCUCCACAGCUGAAUUCUAACCAUUUUUUGCAGCUCUUAUUUCUGCAGGUUUUUAACUUCUUCCUUUUCAGCCAAUAAUAUUUUUUUUGUUUUUCACAGUAUAACCGAUUCUUCCUAAUGCCAAUGACAUGUGAUUGGGCAUUGGUUGCUAACUCAUGGGCACCAUACAUAAUGACAGGUUUGGUAAGGUCUCAGGGUUAACUCGUGGUGUAAAUCACACUAUGGCAUGAUGUGACCCCCAAAUGCUAACCUUUCUAGAUAGUUUUCUUCCCAAGUAUGCAGGUGAUGUUUUCCAAUCUUGAAGUGACUGAACUUGCUUUUGCAGCUGAUGAAGUGAUGUUUACCCACAGGGACUGUGGUCUCACACAAGGGUAUCCAGGGUUGUGUGAGCGCCUUGACUGAAGCCUACAUUCUACUGUGCAGUGGUGGCAACAACUGGAGCUGUUUGAAGCUGCAUCUGUAGAUCUGAAGGAUGCUGGUGUGGAAAGUCAACAACAGUCAGCUUGGUUUAAGUGAAAACUAUCCAGGGUUCUGCGAGUGCCUUGACUGGAGGCUACAUUCUUAAUGUGUGCCGCAGUGGUGACUACAACCAGCGCUGCAUUGGUGGAGUGGAGAAUACAGGUGCAGAAAGUCAUCAGCAGUCAGCAUGGUU